GGGACUAAAAGGCUUUUGCAUCCCUCCCGUUUCCAUGGGCUGAGCUGUAUCUGCUCUGGCCAUAGCAAUGGCAGAGUUGAGGGCAGCUGGAAUCUAGCCCAGUUUUUACCAACAAUUCAUUGUGUGACCUUGGGCAUCCUUUCCAGGCCUCCUUUCCUUCAUCUGUAAAGUGAGGGGUUUAGACUAGAUCAUCUCUCAAGUCUAGCUGUAACAUCUAAAUGACGGUGAAACCGUUUACCUCAGAUUGGGACUCAAACCCAUAUGGCUGGGACUUGAACUCAGCCAAAACCCUGCUUGGGGCUUGAAGCCAUGUGGCUGGGACUUGAACCGAGCCAAAACCCACAGUACCUGGUUUCAGGACCUAUUGAAGCUCAGGUUCUAGAUGUCUCAUCACAGAAAGAAUUCAGUGAGAGACAAAGUGAUAGGUAAGUGGAUUUAACUCAGAUGCAGAGAGACUCACACUCCACAGAGUGUGGGCCAUUGCAGAGCGUGAAUGCAGCCGUGAAAGUUGGUAUGGUUAGUUUUCAUAGGCUGGGUAAUUUCAUAUGCUAAUAAGUGGGAGGAUUUUCCAACCAUUUUGGGGAAGGGGUGGAGAUUUCCAGGAGCUGGGCCGCCGCCCACUCCUGGGUCUUGUAGCAGCGCUGCGGAGCUGUCGUGUCUUGUUGAGGGAGGGUUAAGGUCUAGUCUUGCCUGCCAUCUUGGUCCCAUUUGAUUCUAAUUGGUUUUCGUUGUGUCCUCGGGCCAUAUCAUUCUUUCUAAAGUUGUGCCCUGCCCCUUUCCCUUCUGUUACAAUGGCAUGCCCUGGAUUUUCAUCCGUUUGUUCAUUCCUGGCACUUAUCACUGUGUUUUGUUUGCUAGCUGUCUGCCUUACUCCACGCCAGUUACACGAGGGAAGGGGUUUUGUUUGCUUUGUUCACUGCCGUAUUUCUGCCACCUCCCAUAGGGCAUGAUGGAGGGUGGGAGCUUGCAUUUGACUGAGUCAUGUCAGGAAACCGAAGGCUGCAGGACCCCUUGGAGCAGCCACCCCUCGGAGACAAGCUGCCUUCUAGGGACAGGCCGUCAGCCCUCAGGGAGGGCCUGGUGACACCUGGAACCGGAACUCUGGGGAAGAGGCCCCGCCGACGACGACGGUCAGCAGUGAGCUUUGGUCCUCCUGAGGGGGCUGAAGGAGUGGCAGGGGCAUUCUGGCCACUAGCUGCGGUCAGAGGGUCAGUUGAUAAAUGGCUGUGCUCCAGGCUGAGUGGCAGCCUUGGAAAACUGUGCGCAAAGUGAGGUGGGCUUGCCCAGAGCAGUCCUGGGUGCAGGCGAGGGAGGGGGAAGCAUCUGGGGCGCCCACUGUCCCUGGGGCGGGCAUGGGGGCCUGACACCACCUAGAGACAGAGGAGAGGCAGCAGCUGCUGUCCCCGGAAAGGCACUGACCUUUAGAACAGGAGACAGAAAUAGCUGGGGAGAGGAGAAGAGAACCAUGUGGGGAGGUGUCCAGGCUGGGCAGGGGCAGGCCCAGACACGAGGAAGGGAAGAAAGCCCUGCUCCAGACACUCACUGUGCUGGCAUUUCACGCACUUUCACUUAUUCCCGCCCCGCCCCCUCUCCAGCCUGAGGGCUAUUGGCAUCUCCAUUUCACUGAUGAGAAGACUGAGG
ensembl:lincRNA